rnacentral:misc_RNA from 1 species
GGGGAGACCAUGUCCUGGUGGAACGUGAGUAUGCAUUUCUUUUUUUAGUGCUCUGAGCAAAUCAUAUUCUUACUUCUUAGCAAUGCAUUGAUUUAAGUAUGUGCAUGUUUCUGAAAAGUACUAUGCAUAUAUUUCAUGUGACAUUUAAAAUUGUUCUACAUAUAUUACUACUAACAAAAAAUAAAGUGAUUUCCUGCUACCAUAGAUUUACAGAGAUAAAAUGAUUCCUAUUAUUGGCACAUGUGAAAGUGUGUGCCACACAUUUUUUAUCUGUUGUAUCUGUUGAUCAGUCACUCGUAGUUGACCAUAACAUGAUUAAAAUCAUCUAAACCAUUGAAUUCUGGCUUAUUUCCUCUAUUCUUUUGCUGAUGCUGCACCAAU